CUGACUUACUUUUCUAUUAAAUUUUUGUUAUGUUCCCUUAAUAAUAUGUCCUCGCCUCUGUAUUAACAAAAAUAUAUAGAAAACUGUGGACCGAGGGGUAAUCGGACAGAUCUAUCUUACACUUAUGGUGAUAAUUCUUGCUUCCCACAAAAUCUGUGGAUGUUUCCUCUGCAAUUCUUACCUGUUCUGUGUUAAAUUUAUAUAUG